UCUACGGGGGGUUGCAGUGAGGAAUAUUGGUCAAUGGGCGCGAGCCUGAACCAGCCAAGUAGCGUGAAGGAUGACUGCCCUACGGGUUGUAAACUUCUUUUAUAAAGGAAUAAAGUGAGGCACGUGUGCCUUUUUGUAUGUACUUUAUGAAUAAGGAUCGGCUAACUCCGUGCCAGCAGCCGCGGUAAUACGGAGGAUCCGAGCGUUAUCCGGAUUUAUUGGGUUUAAAGGGAGCGUAGAUGGGUUGAUAAGUCAGUUGUGAAAGUUUGCGGCUCAACCGUAAAAUUGCAAUUGAUACUGGCAGUCUUGAGUACAGUUGAGGUAGGCGGAAUUCGUGGUGUAGCGGUGAAAUGCUUAGAUAUCACGAAGAACUCCGAUUGCGAAGGCAGCUUACUAAACUGCCACUGACAUUGAUGCUCGAAAGUGUGGGGAUCAAACAGGAUUAGAUACCCGAGUAGUC
rnacentral:rRNA from 1 species